AUUGAAAAAAGCUGUAUCGGCGUCAAUGCUGAAAGGGUCCAAGUGCAAACUUGUGGAUGACAUGUCAACGUUUGAUGAGAAAAACGCAGUCUAUAUCGCUUGGCAAGCAAUGCCUAAAAGAAGACCGUACAUAAAAUCUCCAUUGCUCAAGAGAAAACAGGAGAAUUCAAUGAGAAGUGAUAUCAUUAAUAAAUUUCCAUGAAGAACGUCAUAAAUAUUUUUUACAAAUAAACAGAUUUUUAUAGAUUUCAAAGAAAUGAA